GGUAGCCGGCCUGAGAGGGCGACCGGCCACACUGGGACUGAGACACGGCCCAGACUCCUACGGGAGGCAGCAGUGGGGAAUAUUGGGCAAUGGAGGAAACUCUGACCCAGCGACGCCGCGUGAGGGAUGAAGGCCUUCGGGUUGUAAACCUCUUUCAGUAGGGAAGAAGCGAAAGUGACGGUACCUACAGAAGAAGCACCGGCUAACUAUGUGCCAGCAGCCGCGGUAAUACAUAGGGUGCAAGCGUUGUCCGGAAUUAUUGGGCGUAAAGAGCUCGUAGGUGGUUCGAUACGUCGGAUGUGAAAAUCAGGGGCUCAACCCCUGACCUGCAUCCGAUACGGUCGAGCUGGAGUUUGGUAGGGGA
rnacentral:rRNA from 1 species